ACGGGAGGCAGCAGUGGGGAAUAUUGGACAAUGGGCGCAAGCCUGAUCCAGCCAUGCCGCGUGUGUGAAGAAGGCCCUCGGGUUGUAAAGCACUUUCAGUGGGGAAGAAAUCCUCGGGGCUAAUACCCUCGAGGGAGGACAUCACCCACAGAAGAAGCACCGGCUAACUCCGUGCCAGCAGCCGCGGUAAUACGGAGGGUGCGAGCGUUAAUCGGAAUUACUGGGCGUAAAGCGCGCGUAGGCGGCCUGAUAAGCCGGUUGUGAAAGCCCCGGGCUCAACCUGGGAACGGCAUCCGGAACUGUCAGGCUAGAGUGCAGGAGAGGAAGGUAGAAUUCCCGGUGUAGCGGUGAAAUGCGUAGAGAUCGGGAGGAAUACCAGUGGCGAAGGCGGCCUUCUGGACUGACACUGACGCUGAGGUGCGAAAGCGUGGGUAGCAAACAGGAUU
rnacentral:rRNA from 1 species